GCCUAGCCCUAAAUCUUGGCACUUCCCCUACUAAAGUGCCCGCCCGAGAACUACGAGCACAAACGCUUAAAACUCUAAGGACUUGGCGGUGCCCCAAACCCACCUAGAGGAGCCUGUUCUAUAAUCGAUAACCCACGAUUCACCCGACCGUCCCUUGCCAAAACAGCCUACAUACCGCCGUCGUCAGCCCACCUUCGUGAAAGAGCAACAGUGAGCGCAAUAGCUUCCCCCCGCUAGCAAGACAGGUCGAGGUAUAGCCCAUGGGGCGGAAGAAAUGGGCUACAUUUUCUGAAACAGAAAAUUUAACGAAAGGGGGCGUGAAACCGCCCCCGAAAGGCGGAUUUAGCAGUAAAGCGGGACAAUAGAGCCCCCUUUAAACCGGCCCUGAGGCACGU
rnacentral:rRNA from 1 species